rnacentral:piRNA from 1 species
UGGAUCAGAUGAUGGGUCUGUGAAGAC